CCCGCCUUCUGCAGCCCGUGCUCCCCACCCCGAGCACGCUAGGCCCCUCUGCCUGAAGCUGGAGACAGGACCCAGAAAUGUCACACUUCAGACAGAGGCACCAAUACGACAUGGAGCUUCUGAGCCCUAACCAUGGCUGGUGACUCUUCCAGGACCUGAAAAGUGACAUCGUCAGAGGUCCCAUGCUCGAGCAGCCUGUGACUCAGAGGCAGCUGACGUCUGACGCUCUUAAUUCAGCCCAAAUGCUGGAGGUCUGUGUCUUGCGGCAUGCAGGAGGUGGAGGGGCACAUUCCAAGGGAGAAAGCUCUUCCUGCCUUCUACCCACGGAGGGGAGCAACGAGCCCUGAAGUUGUGGACAAGCACAUCCUCGCUCUCAUACCUCCCCUCCCUCCCUGCUUGGCCUCCCAACCCAGACCUGGGAUGGCCUGCUCUCCUGGACCAAGCUUCCUCCUGCCUGCCCCUCCACCCUGACCUCAGACCCAGCUCACUUCCAGGGAGGCCCACUACGCUCCUCCCCACAUCACCUCCAUGCCCUCAUUUCACCUGGAAGACAACCCCUCAGAGGCUUAGGGAAGUGAGUGACUCAUCCAAGGUCAUGGCGCAGCAAAUAAGUGGCAGAGCAAAGAUUUGAACCCCAGGCUCUUGACUCCAAGUCUGGACUCUUUCUUCCAUACCCGAAGGGGGCACCACCGUCCACAUGACCACAGGGGCAGGACCAGAGCAGGAGGUGCUGGGGGUUCGCCCAGCUCUGUGGAUCCCCAAGGCAGAUCCUCUGGCAAGAGACCGAACGCUUCCCCAGGCAGAGGACCCCUGGCCACAGUGGGAGGGGCUGUCCUGGGAAACGUAGGGAGGGGAGAUCCCAACUUGGUAGGGUACCAACGUGA